GUUUUACUCAUUUUUGAUUGUUUAACAUUUUUUGUUAGUGAUCUUUAACGGCGGCAACCAAUCUCUUCUUAUCCAUAUAUAUAUUUAAGGCAUAAUUUCAAUCUGGACGUUCCAGUCGUUGGAAUUAAACAUUAAUUCUACCCGAUCCAGUCAAGCAAUAGCGGUAAUUUACGCUAAUAAUAUCAAGUAACAGGAAAAUUGGGCAUUUCUUUAACAGGUUUAUGUCAUUGUAUAGUCAUACAAAUAACAAAAGAAUCAUAACAUAUGGUUCUCAAAAUUUUCACACAAAUAAAGAAUGCGCAGUUGAUUUUAAUAAAAUUAGUACCGGUUCGGAGUUGGUUGAAAUACACAUUGAAGUAUUACUUUUUUUUAAAUGUACAUAUGUGUAUAUAUAUAAUAUACUUGAUUAAAAAAACACAGGGGUCUUACUCUGAAGGCUUUCUUACACUAAGCCCGCCGUGUCCUCUACCAAUGGCAGGCACCUUGCCAUGGUGCAGAGGCUUAAGUCGUAAAGCACACUCGGUAUCUCUCAACCAAUGUGAAAGGUGUCACCUGGCACUGCUCACACGGGUUGUCAGAACCAAGAACUGCCACUGCCUAAUCCAGGGUAUUAUGCGACUCCAAUGCCCAUUGGAUGAUUUGCAGACAGGAUAUUAUUUUGACUGUAUUCUAACGAAGCCUUUCCAACAACGGGCCGCAUUGCGAAGUGACGGAGGCCUUAUCGCAUCAUGGAGUUCUGGCGCGGCGGACCUUUGCAUUCCCCUUCACUAUCGUUGACCCAACGGCUCACUGCGUUGAACCAAGAGUCGUAAGACCAAGAUGAACAGCAAAAAUUUAAACUAAACGACCACAACAACAACAUCAUCUACGACAACUCCACAACCACGGCAAACGACUAUAAAACAUAGCUACAAUGAUAGCAACGGUGCAGGUGUUCUGUUCUCCCUAUCGCGUGAGCAGCGUGCGCAGUUUAAGGAGCAUGCCAAAGGUGAUGGCAAUGACAUGCCCCAUGUAGCGGCGCUCAGUAGGUGACAUCUACUUCACCUCAGUCUCAGCGGACAUGUACCGGGGGUGCUCACAAGAAGAAGAAAAAGAGGGAGGCAGAGGGCAAUCUGGAGCACCAGCUGGUUACGCAGGUAGACACGACGACCCUCGUAGGGGGGAUAUGAGCGGUGCAAGCCUCAAGUAGUACCUGACGCAUCUCCAAGAGGGAAAAACUCCUAAGGUAGCCGAAAAACUCGCACCUGCACCUAAGGAGGGUAAAGGUGGCAAUACCGUGUCCGUUGGCGGUGUUCCUCUCCAGAUAUGCAAGAAAGCCGUAUGAGUUUGUUCUCGGGCUCAUAAAGAACCAAAACGAGGGCCUUAGUAUCUUGUCCUCGCAGGAGCUUUUGGAGGGGCUAAAUGACCUAGUGGAUCCUAUAGUGGUCGUCAACGAGGAAGUUACCCAGGGAAACCUGUACUACACGGUGUCAGCCUCGGCUGUCACCGCGAGCGUGUUCAUAUCGGAUAACCAAGAACCAUGGGCCCAUAAAGGGGAGGUCUAGGGACUCAAAACAGACGCUAACAAGAGUUCCUGCCAGCACCCCCAGAGGCUGAGGAUUGCCUAGGGGACUUUUGCAGGAGAAACAAGAUGCCCCUGAUUUUGGGAUGCGACGCAAACGCCCAUCGCAUGGACUGGGGCAGUACGCACUGCAACACACGAGCUCGAAAACAGCUAACAUGUGUUUUUCACGAACGAAACAGCGCUUGAUCGUUCUAUAACUCCACCAAAAACUACGCUCACUAAUUUUUUUUUAAUUGUUUAAUCGUGCGGAUGCUUUUGUGGCAUUCGCACAGACACUGUAAGACAAGACAAAUUCGGCUAUUUGUCUAGUACUGAAGAUAUGUUUUCCGGCCCGAUCCCAAAUGUUUUGGGAUAAUCACAAAUAUCCAAUGACUGAUGAUAUAUUGUCUCGACAUUAUACAAUGUGCAACGGUUAGAUCAUUCAGUAAUGCAAUAUAAAAUAAAGCAUUGAUUGAUAUUGAGGAUUAUUGCAUUGGCAUUGUGAAUUUACUAAUAAAUCAUUGCAGUAUGAGUUUACCAAAUCGAAUGGAAUUUGAUUUAAUCAACACAGAUAUAAAUUGUGAAAUGACAUAUGAUACUGUCAAAUUGGCAACGACUGUUUCCCGGAUAUUAUUGGAAAUGCCUGGAAUGCCACCGCAUCAUUUGCAACUGAAGAUUGUAUCUCCAGUAAUUUUGCUUCGUAUUUUGAACCAACCAUGGCUUUGUAACGGCACAAGAUUAGUUAUUAAAAAUUAUUAAAAACACGAAUGCCUAUGAUUCUUAUAGAUGUCCCAAUAAAAUUUAAACGCCCUCAAUUUCCAAUUAGAUUGACACUUGUAUUGGCGAUGAAUAACUCACAAGGUCAAACGUUGUCUGUGUUUAAUUAAUUUUAUCUUUCAUUAGUAGUAUAAAUAUGAAAUAUGUAAUAUUUGCAAUGUUUAGAUUGCUAUCAAUAAUUAUAAUUUAAUAUAUAUUUGUUACUUUAAUAAAAAAUAAUGCAUUAGCUUAAAUAUAGAAUACUUUAAUUGUCU